GGCUCCCUUCCGUGCUUGCAAUUGGAAUGGUGAUUUUUGUGCCUAAAAAAUUGAUUACUGCAAAAUAGAAAUAGAUUGAAAGAAAAAUAGGGGAAGAAAAGAUGAAAAGGAUGAGCUUUAACUCGCUUGCCUCGGUCCCCCCCGUCACAUGGCAUCUCGAUCAUUUCCUCUUCCUCCUUUUUCUUUUCGGUUCAGCUUCCACACUUUCCUACCUCUGCCCCUCUCUUCUUUUCUUCCUCCCUCGUGGCGGUUGCUCUUUGGUUCCCCUUUUUUUUCCCCUCGCCCCUCCUAUCUUUUCUUUUCCUUCCUCCUUUUUUUUCUCCUUUCUUUUCCCUCUUCCUUCCCUCUCUUUUUUUCUUCCUCUCGACUUCCCCGUGCGACCCUCUCUUCUCCUUCCCUUCCCGAUCUCUCCUCUCUCUUCUCCCUCUCUCUUUUUUGGCUACUCUUCAAAAUGAAGAGAAAACCCUAAUCUCUUCCCUUUUUAUACCCAUUCUUUCAACCGUUGGAUCGAGUUAUGACGAUUUGGACCGUCCCUUUUCUUUUAAAUCUCCUCCAUCCGAUCUCCUCAAGCGGUCUAAUCUAGGCCCUCCAUUCUCCUUAUUUCCUUUGCCCCCUUCAACUUCUCCUUAUUUAUGUUUUUGCCCCCUUUUUUCUUACCUACUUUCAUUUAAGUCCCUAAAUUUACUUGAAAGCCCAAAUUUUUGAAAAUUUCUUUCAUUUACACCCAAACUCCAAAUUUUAUUUAUAUUUCUUUUCCUUUAAGUGGAUAUUACAAUCCUAUUACAGGUAGAAAUUAGACAAUAUACGAUAUAAUUUUAGUGGUUGAUUCAGACUAUCACAAAAGUUGAAAUGUUGAUAGGUAAUAUAUUAGAAUAGGGGAACUCAUGUGUCCAUUUCAUGGCCACCCUAUUUAUUUCUUUACUUGAAAAAAAUAGUUGUUUAACUAUUCUAUCAACAAAAAGGAGUACCAAAAAAAUUAAAAAUAAAAUAGUUCAUCUUUGUCUUAAAACCUAAAGAAAAUGUGAUCUACUUUAUUGCAAGAUACCAAAGCUUUUAUUUUUGUGUUGGUUGCAU
rnacentral:lncRNA from 1 species